AUCGCUUCUCGGCCUUUUGGCUAAGAUCAAAGUGUAGUAUCUGUUCUUAUCAGCUUAAUAUCUGAUACACUGUCCAUUGGACAGUACGAUAUUAAACUAAUUUUUGAACUGAGGCUUGCGGUCUGGAAUUUAUUCCGCCCUCGCCACGGGUCGGCCCGCUAUUGCACUACUUGCGGGAUUCGGCCCACUCCCA